rnacentral:misc_RNA from 1 species
GAUGAAGAACGUAGCGAAAUGCGAUAAGUAAUGUGAAUUGCAGAAUUCAGUGAAUCAUCGAAUCUUUGAACGCACAUUGCGCCCCCUGGUAUUCCGGGGGGCAUGCCUGUUCGAGCGUCAUUUCACCACUCAAGCCUCGCUUGGUAUUGGGCAACGCGGUCCGCCGCGUGCCUCAAAUCGACCGGCUGGGUCUUCUGUCCCCUAAGCGUUGUGGAAACUAUUCGCUAAAGGGUGUUCGGGAGGCUACGCCGUAAAACAACCCCAUUACUAAGGUUGACCUCGGAUCAGGUAGGGAUACCCGCUGAACUUAAGCAUAUCAAUAAGCGGAGGA